CCUACGGGUCGCAGCAGUGAGGAAUAUUGGUCAAUGGGCGAGAGCCUGAACCAGCCAAGUCGCGUGAGGGAGUACUGCCCUAUGGGUUGUAAACCUCUUUUGUCGAGGAGCAAAAGCCGGACGUGUCCGGCUGUGAGAGUACCCGAAGAAAAAGCAUCGGCUAACUCCGUGCCAGCAGCCGCGGUACUACGGAGGAUGCGAGCGUUAUCCGGAUUUAUUGGGUUUAAAGGGUGCGCAGGCGGAUUUUUAAGUCAGCGGUAAAAUCGUGGGGCUCAACCCCAUCGAGCCGUUGAAACUGGGGAUCUAGAGUGUGCGAGAGGUAUGCGGAAUGCGUGGUGUAGCGGUGAAAUGCAUAGAUAUCACGCAGAACCCCGAUUGCGAAGGCAGCAUACCGGUGCACAACUGACGCUCAGGCACGAAAGCGUGGGUAUCGAACAGGAUUAGAUACCCGGGUAGUC
rnacentral:rRNA from 1 species